GACGAACGCUGGCGGCGUGCCUAAUACAUGCAAGUAGAACGCUGAAGAGAGGAGUUUGCUCUUCUUGGAAGAGUUGCGAACGGGUGAGUAACGCGUAGGUAACCUGCCUUGUAGCGGGGGAUAACUAUUGGAAACGAUAGCUAAUACCGCAUAACAAUGGGUGACCCAUGUCAUUCAUUUGAAAGGGGCAACUGCUCCACUACAAGAUGGACCUGCGUUGUAUUAGCUAGUAGGUGAGGUAACGGCUCACCUAGGCGACGAUACAUAGCCGACCUGAGAGGGUGAUCGGCCACACUGGGACUGAGACACGGCCCAGACUCCUACGGGAGGCAGCAGUAGGGAAUCUUCGGCAAUGGGGGCAACCCUGACCGAGCAACGCCGCGUGAGUGAAGAAGGUUUUCGGAUCGUAAAGCUCUGUUGUAAGUCAAGAACGAGUGUGAGAGUGGAAAGUUCACACUGUGACGGUAGCUUACCAGAAAGGGACGGCUAACUACGUGCCAGCAGCCGCGGUAAUACGUAGGUCCCGAGCGUUGUCCGGAUUUAUUGGGCGUAAAGCGAGCGCAGGCGGUUUGAUAAGUCUGAAGUUAAAGGCUGUGGCUCAACCAUAGUUCGCUUUGGAAACUGUCAAACUUGAGUGCAGAAGGGGAGAGUGGAAUUCCAUGUGUAGCGGUGAAAUGCGUAGAUAUAUGGAGGAACACCGGUGGCGAAAGCGGCUCUCUGGUCUGUAACUGACGCUGAGGCUCGAAAGCGUGGGGAGCGAACAGG
rnacentral:rRNA from 1 species